rnacentral:lncRNA from 1 species
GAUAUCAUAGCCACAUGGACUGGUAGGAGGAGCAAUUGGAGACUGAGACAUAAUGGAAGGUCACUAGGGCACACCUUUUGUCAAGUCUUUUUCAUGUGCCUUUCCACGAUUCCUGGCUAUCAGGAGCUUGUCUCUACUACACACUCCCACCAUGAAAUUUCAUGCUUCACCACAGAAGAAAAGCCAAUGAAACCAAACAACCAUGGACUAAAACCUCUAAAAAACAUAAGCCAAAAUGUUUACUCAGAGAAGUGGAUUGGGUAUUUUUUUAUCACUGUGACAGGAAGUUGACUAACAGAUCAGGCCAACAGAAAUGCUGAUGAAGGAGGUUAUAUCAAGUUGACAAAUAAAACUAUUCACCAUACGUACGGGACCUCACAGAUAUAGUGACCACAAGAGGCUAAAGAACAAGAUGUCAGGUUUAUUUACAUGUGGCGUCUGGCUUGGACUACUUUAAAAUUGAGCAGCACUUCCCAGUUCCCCCACUUCCUCUCUUCCCAGCAUGUGUGCCACCUACCAUAAGUUAGGAGUGGAUGACAAGACAAUGUACCCGAAAGAUAGCAGGUCACCCUCUGCUCAGCCAGAGGGCAGGAAGAGCAUCCAGUCAACAUCCUCGGGUUUACAGGAGUGGCCUGACUGGUGAAGCCAAGAAAAGCUUUUUAAGUGGCGAAGAAAUGGUUUGGUGCCAGCAGUGGUCACAGACACACUUUCUGUAGCACCCUGCCCUGUCAUGCCCCAGAGCACUGCUGAAGCUUGGCUCUCCCAGAAUUCCUCUGGGUCUGCAACUUUUUUAGCUUUGGAACCACUCAUGCCCGUGGAGGAACCUGCAAUGUCCAGUGACCUAUGUGAAAAAAGAAAAGACAAACCAACAAAAGUUAUUUAGCUGUAAGUGCAGCUGCUGUCCCCUAGCCCAGUGCCUUGCUCACCCUGUGAGACCCAGGGCCAGCUAAGAAGGUCAAGAAUCCAGUAGUUGUUUAGUCUACAGGAAUGGGUGUCUCAAAAGUCUCAAUCUGGUACCAGAGUCCCAGCUGAGUUCUGAAGAGCUGCUUGUCUUCAGUGUAUCUGGAAAUCCUGAAGAGGAAGGUUCUAACUCUAAUGAAAGAUUGCCUCAGCAACAGGAUAGAUGAACCUGCCAGUGAGAGUGUGAUCAAGCAGGCAAAAAGCAAAAAUUUCCUUCUUCCACUUGGGCUACAACCAGGAAGCAUAGCCCAUGUUUAGAAUGCGUCCUCCCUCUUCAUAAGAUCAAGACUUAAGGACUUGCGUUUGCUAAAGGAAAAACUGUGAGCAACCAAACCUGUGCUUCUGUGAUAAGAGAAAUAGCGAAAGAAUCUGGUCACGACACUGUUAAUGUGCAUAUUGAUCUACAAAUACAAAAAGAAGUCCUCUUGUGGUUUUCCCCAAAUAGAACUUUUAAAAAAAUUUAUUAUUAUAAUUAAGUACACUGUAGAUGUCUUCUGACACGCCAGAAGAGGACACAUAAGCUUCUACUGUGGACAGCAGUUUUGACCAUGGAAUAUAUCUUACACGGGACACGUCCAAUCAAUCAAAGGUUGAGAAUACGAGUACUCCAACCUUAAGUGAUCACAGCGUCCUUACCACAUCCAUUGCAGUAGCCAUGACUUUCAUGCAAAUGUUCACACUAACAAGGACCUUUAUUUGCAGCUGGAUGCUGCAGGGAUCACCCACGGAGUUACUUACCUAAUUCUGUUCAUUUGUCUGAGCACCCAGAUCAGCACACAGGAGGAUGCAAAAUUCUGUAUUUUUUUUCCCCCAGAGGAUCGCAGAGUAAAACAAGCAGGAAGUUGAAUGUCAAGAUUCAUGAUACAACUUAAAACUAACCCCCAUGAACAAUCCAUGGUUGGAACUCACGCUGCCCAGCUAUGGUAUAAUAAACUGGAAUGCACUCUCUACGCCUUGGAAAAGCUAAAAGAUACUGUGCAUUUGGACACACCAGCAAGGAGAAAAUGCUGUGAGCAGACUGAGCAAAGACUGCUCCUGGAUGGACGCCCCGCUUCUGUGUUGGGAAGGAAGUAUGAGUCCCUGAGAAAGGGCUUUAUAAGUUUUUGAACUAACCAGAAGAGGACAGGUCUCUUGGCUAAAAACAAACAAUAGCAAGGUUCAUUUUUGCCAAUGUCUAGCCUG